rnacentral:rRNA from 1 species
AGUCACUGACAUUAGAUACCCGUGUAGUCCAGGGUGUAAACGCUGCAGACUUGGUGUUGGAAGUCCUUUGGGGGCAUUCAGUGCCGGAGAGAAGUUGUUAAGUCUGCUACUUGGGGAGUACGUCCGCAAGGAUGAAACUUAAAGGAAUUGGCGGGGGAGCACCGCAACGGGAGGAGCGUGCGGUUUAAUUGGAUUCAACACCGUAAACUCACCAGGGAAGACUGUUACAUGAAAGCCGAGAUGAAGACUCUGCUAGAUUUUCAG